rnacentral:sRNA from 1 species
AGUUGUAAACUGGCAGCAGGGAGACUUCUACAUAUGGAGCUUCUGCAGACCAGAGAAUGGGGCCUGGUGUCUGUUGUUUCCAGAUCCUUCUGGCAAGUACCGGCAGACGUUGAGAAAUGUCAGGAUCGGAUGGAGUGUUUCAACGCUGACCUGAAAGCUGACAUGGAGAGGUGGCAGAACAACAAGAGGCAGGACUUCCGGCAGCUACUCAUGGGGAUGGCUGACAAGAACAUCCAGUAUUAUGAGAAGGCCCAAUUUACCCUCAAUUUACCCUCUUCUACAUCUUCCACAUCUGCACCAAUCUGGGGAGAUGAAGAAGCUUCCUAGUGUAGUAGCCAUCAUGAUUGGCAGGCAGACUGACAGCCAGCCGAGGCUGGAGUGCAGUGGCAUGAUCUCAGCUCACUGCAACCUCUGCCUCCCAGGCUCAAGCAGUCCCCCCUGCCUCAGUCUCCGGAGUAGCUGGGACUAUAGGUGAUCCUGCUGCUGCUGGCCCAAGAACCACUGGGUUAGUACAUCUGUUAGAAGAAAUGGUGACCCUGGGAAAGCUGACAGGGUUUGAAACUCCUACCCUGGUGACAGCUGGAGUUGAAAAGGAGCCAAUACUUGGGCUUUGAGAGCUCAGCUCAGGUUAAAAAAAACACAAGUUUGUAGCAGGGUCAGUGUGGACAAGGAAGGACAUUUCUCUAAACAGUAAGAGGCUUUUCAGGAGUAGGAAGGAUUAGAUUCAUUCAGGCUGAGGAGCUGGUCCAGAGGCUGGACCAGAAGGUAAGGAGUUGGGGAAUGAGCAUAUUGAUGAGUAAGGUUAGAGAGGUCGAACAUGAUCUUGACCUCAUCUUUCCCAUCCUGUCUGCUCUGCUCAUGUUGCCAGACUCUGUGAGGGGGGGGCGCUACCUUUUUCCCAGUGACCUGAGCCCCAAAUCUGAGUCAUUCUGGCCUCCCUCUAUCUCACCCUCUACCAUCCAUCCAUUAACCAACUCCUAUAGCCUCUAACUCCCAAAUAUUUUUCCAUAUCCAUCUACUUUUCUCCAUGCUUGUAGCUUCCUACCCUACGUCUGCUAUUAUUUUUUUACUUUAAUUUUUUUUUAAGAGACAAUCUUGCUCUCUCACCCAGGCAGGGGUAUAGUGGCCCAGUCAUAGCCCACUGCAGCCUUGAACUCGGGCUCAAGCGAUCCUGUCGUUUUAGCCUCCUGAGUCGCUGGGAUUAUAGGUGCACAGCACCAUACCCAGGUAAUUUUAAUUUUUUUUGUAGAGAUGGUGGUCUCGCUAUUUGCUCAGGCUAGUGCUGGAUUCCUGGCCUCAAGUGAACUUCCCAGCUUGGCCUCGCAGAGUGCUGGGACUAUAGGCCUGAGCCACCAAGGCUGGCCAGUCAGUCUGCCAUUAUCCUUCACCUGGUUUACUGCAAGGGCUUCACAGCUCAUCUUUCUUCAAGCUUGCUCACUCCUUCCACCAAUUCAUUGUCCUCAAUGUUGCCAGGGAGCUGUUUCUAAGAUACAAAUUUAAGCACUCUGUGUUCCUGCUUAACACCUUCCAACAGCUAUCCCCAUUUACUCUGAAGAGAAACAUCUUUUUCUUUUGAAAGGAUAUUUUAUGUUAUUCCUCCUUACCACCCCAGUCUCAUCUUACUGUCCUCCAUAAUACUUGUCCUUCCGUCUGCUCCCUUCACACUGAAUUCCUAAAUCUUUGAUAUAUUUUCACCUUCAGGCCUUCCAGCAUGGUGUUCCUUCUGCCUGGAAUGUCCCCCAACAUCUGGCCUUAGUAACUCUUACUUACCCUUCCAGCCUUAUCAUAGUAGUCACUUCUGGGAUGCCCUCCCUGCUCUCCCAAAUCUGGAUUCUAUGCUCCCUUAUAUUAGUGAGGUUGGAGAGGGUGAACGUGAUCUUGAACUUCUUGAACUCAUCUUUCCCAUCCCAUCUGCCCUGCUCAUGUGGCCUGACUCAGUGCAAGGGUGCUAGCUCCUUCCCAGUGGAAGGAGACAUCCCUAUCUUCUGUUCUGUCUGCUUCACCUGUUAGACGGUACGCUCUGCUAGGGCAGACACAGUCACGUGCUAUUCUUUCUGUAUCUCAGCACCUAGCAUGGGGCUUGGACCUUAUUAGGUGUGUCAUAGAAUUUUGUUCAUUCCCUGCAAGAGGAUUAGAGAUACAAACUCUCUGAGCCCAAAUACCCUGAGAUUUAAAUGUAUUCUCUAGCCUUGUGUUUUACCCUGUAUAAGAACAUCAAGUCUGUAGUCAUAGAAUCUGACCUGGGAAAGAACGAUUCACACACUCAUACAAUGAAUGUUGAUUUUAUUAGGUGAGUCUGCUUUUAUAAAUCCAAGUAAACGAGGUUAUAAAAAUGAGUACCUCAAAUAAAAUAGCUCUUAAUGUACCUCCUCUUCCUUCACACCACCCACUUUGGGAAGCACUGUUGACUGGAAGUACUCAAUUGAACAUCCCAUUGAAGAAAGCCUUGUGACAUUUGCUUCUUAAAAGCAACAGUAGUAACAAAACUACCCAGAAGACAAGGGCCUGAGCUCCAUCCCCCUCCUGAGUGUCUGUAGGUAAGGAAGACUCAGGAAAGAAAGCUGACUUUUUUCAAGGUUUUAUUUUAAUUUAAAAGAUAUUGUUCGUGCAAAACUGUUGGUAGUUCUCACGAAACAUCCCUUCCACAUUCCCCUCAGGCUAUGAUAAUGCACACUUUGAGUUCUCCCAUGGGACUUUCAGCACAGCACCCAGGUGACUAGUUAGCUAUACCUUGGAGCCCUCAAGACAAUCCCUUGAACAAAAGGGGCAGGCUCGCUGUAGCUGGAGUCUGAAGCCCCUCACAGGGCCUGGGACCGCUGUGUGCAGCCUGCCUAUAACCUUUAAGUUCAUGCUCUGCUGUCACAGAACCCAGUCUCUGCCUAAUAGGGGUGUCUUAAAGCUGAGACACCCCUAUUAGGGGUUUCCAUCACCAGGAAAGUGCUUUUCCCCAUCCACCAGGGAUCCCUGAGCCAGAGCAGGUCAUUCUGAGGCCAACUCUGGCUGGAACGCGGGUUUUUUAAGCAGUGGGUUGCUUUGGUCACCAGUUCCCUGGUCCCUUCUUUUGUCUUCUGGGGGCCUGGCCAUGGCUGUUGUUUUCAGCUCCUGCAGGUAAGCAUCUUCAUUUCUCUGGGAUGACUCCAUAUGGUGACGAUGGGACUUGUUUAUAGGCCACGAUGCUGUAAGAAUUGACCAUAGAGAAUUACAAGAGAACAGCUGGAAUGGGGUAAAGGUGAAACUGCCCUCACAGGGUUAAUGAGAAUUACAAGGCAGGCUUUAGGCAAAAUCAUAAGUAGGCAUUGACCAAGGUGUGCUGGUGCACUGUGACCCACCUCCCUGCAGCUGCUAGCUAAAAGGAGCAUGUUGACCACUUGCUUCCCCAUUGUUCCUUUAGAUAGAAUCUCUGGGGAUCGGGCAUGGUGGCUCACACCUGUAAUCCCAGCAGUUUGGGAGGUUGAGGCAGGUGGAUCACCUGAAGUCAGGAGUUCGAGACUAGCCUGGCCAACCUGGUGAAACCCCGACUCUACUAAAAAUACAAAAAUUAGGUGGGCAUGGUGGCAGGUGCCUGUAAUCCCAGCUACUUGGGAUGCUGAGGCAGGAGAAUCACUUGAACCCAGGAGGCGGAGGUUUCAGUGAGCCAAGAUCGUGCCAUUGCACUCCAGCCUGGGUGACAGACUGAGACUCUGUCUAAAAAAAAAAAAAAAAAAAAAAAAAAAAUCUCUGAUACUGGACCUUUUUACUUAAGAAUUGCUUAAGGUGUUUUUCAUAUCCUGAAUUCCAGCAGAAUGGCUGGUGCCAACCAGCCUGAAGACCCUCACCAAGGAACCAACUCAGCACAGGGCUGGCAAGUGGAGAGUGAAGACUUGGAAGCAGCCAGCACAGGGCCACAUGACCACAUGACCCUUGACCCCUGCUGUGAACCACUACAGCACAGCCACAAGGCAAUGGCCAGCAUCUGACUUCAUGGGUGGCCCCAGGCAGCUCUGGGGUGUGGGCGGUCAGCAGUCCUGACUUAUUAGUCAGUGUAAGUCAGCACUCUGAGAGAUGCUACACCCUCUGACAGGGCAUGCAUUCAUUAAACAAAUUCUUUUUG